AUGCCCACUGCACUGUUCAGUCCUUCCACAUGCCCACUGCACUGUUCAGUCCUUCCACAUGCCCACUGCACUGUUCAGUCCUUCCACAUGCCCACUGCACUGUUCAGUCCUUCCACAUGCCCACUGCACUGUUCAGUCCUUCCACAUGCCCACUGCCACUGCACUGUCCAGUCCUUCCACAUGCCCACUGCCACUGCACUGUCCAGUCCUUCCACAUGCCCACUGCCACUGCACUGUCCAGUCCUUCCACAUGCCCACUGCCACUGCACUGUUCAGUCCUUCCACAUGCCCACUGCCACUGCACUGUCCAGUCCUUCCACAUGCCCACUGCCACUGCACUGUUCAGUCCUUCCACAUGCCCACUGCCACUGCACUGUCCAGUCCUUCCACAUGCCCACUGCCACUGCACUGUUCAGUCCUUCCACAUGCCCACUGCCACUGCACUGUUCAGUCCUUCCACAUGCCCACUGCCACUGCACUGUUCAGUCCUUCCACAUGCCCACUGCCACUGCACUGUCCAGUCCUUCCACAUGCCCACUGCCACUGCACUGUUCAGUCCUUCCACAUGCCCACUGCCACUGCACUGUCCAGUCCUUCCACAUGCCCACUGCCACUGCACUGUUCAGUCCUUCCACAUGCCCACUGCCACUGCACUGUUCAGUCCUUCCACAUGCCCACUGCCACUGCACUGUCCAGUCCUUACACAUGCCCACUGCCACUGCACUGUUCAGUCCUUCCACAUGCCCACUGCCACUGCACUGUCCAGUCCUUCACUGUUCAGUGCUGUUCACUGCACUGUUCAGUCCUUCCACAUGCCCACUGCCACUGCACUGUUCAGUCCUUCCACAUGCCCACUGCCACUGCACUGUCCAGUCCUUCCACAUGCCCACUGCCACUGCACUGUUCAGUCCUUCCACAUGCCCACUGCCACUGCACUGUUCAGUCCUUCCACAUGCCCACUGCCACUGCACUGUCCAGUCCUUCCACAUGCCCACUGCCACUGCACUGUUCAGUCCUUCCACAUGCCCACUGCCACUGCACUGUUCAGUCCUUCCACAUGCCCACUGCCACUGCACUAUUCAGUCCUUCCACAUGCCCACUGCCACUGCACUGUUCAGUCCUUCCACAUGCCCACUGCCACUGCACUGUCCAGUCCUUACACAUGCCCACUGCCACUGCACUGUUCAGUCCUUCCACAUGCCCACUGCCACUGCACUGUCCAGUCCUUCACUGUUCAGUGCUGUUCACUGCACUGUUCAGUCCUUCCACAUGCCCACUGCCACUGCACUGUCCAGUCCUUCACUGUUCAGUGCUGUUCACUGCACUGUUCAGUCCUUCCACAUGCCCACUGCCACUGCACUGUUCAGUCCUUCCACAUGCCCACUGCCACUGCACUGUCCAGUCCUUCCACAUGCCCACUGCCACUGCACUGUUCAGUCCUUCCACAUGCCCACUGCCACUGCACUGUUCAGUCCUUCCACAUGCCCACUGCCACUGCACUGUCCAGUCCUUCCACAUGCCCACUGCCACUGCACUGUUCAGUCCUUCCACAUGCCCACUGCCACUGCACUGUUCAGUCCUUCCACAUGCCCACUGCCACUGCACUAUUCAGUCCUUCCACAUGCCCACUGCCACUGCACUGUUCAGUCCUUCCACAUGCCCACUGCCACUGCACUGUCCAGUCCUUACACAUGCCCACUGCCACUGCACUAUUCAGUCCUUCCACAUGCCCACUGCCACUGCACUGUUCAGUCCUUCCACAUGCCCACUGCCACUGCACUGUCCAGUCCUUACACAUGCCCACUGCCACUGCACUGUUCAGUCCUUCCACAUGCCCACUGCCACUGCACUGUCCAGUCCUUCACUGUUCAGUGCUGUUCACUGCACUGUUCAGUCCUUCCACAUGCCCACUGCCACUGCACUGUUCAGUCCUUCCACAUGCCCACUGCCACUGCACUGUCCAGUCCUUCCACAUGCCCACUGCCACUGCACUGUUCAGUCCUUCCACAUGCCCACUGCCACUGCACUGUUCAGUCCUUCCACAUGCCCACUGCCACUGCACUGUCCAGUCCUUCCACAUGCCCACUGCCACUGCACUGUUCAGUCCUUCCACAUGCCCACUGCCACUGCACUGUCCAGUCCUUCCACAUGCCCACUGCCACUGCACUGUCCAGUCCUUCCACAUGCCCACUGCCACUACACUGUUCAGUCCUUCCACAUGCCCACUGCCACUGCACUGUUCAGUCCUUCCACAUGCCCACUGCCACUGCACUGUCCAGUCCUUCCACAUGCCCACUGCCACUGCACUGUCCAGUCCUUCCACAUGCCCACUGCCACUACACUGUCCAGUCCUUCCACAUGCCCACUGCCACUACACUGUCCAGUCCUUCCACAUGCCCACUGCCACUACACUGUCCAGUCCUUCCACAUGCCCACUGCCACUACACUGUCCAGUCCUUCCACAUGCCCACUGCCACUACACUGUCCAGUCCUUCCACAUGCCCACUGCCACUACACUGUCCAGUCCUUCCACAUGCCCACUGCCACUGCACUGUUCAGUCCUUCCACAUGCCCACUGCCACUGCACUGUUCAAUCUACUUUGUGACUUUUUCAAAUGA
ensembl:lncRNA